rnacentral:snRNA from 1 species
GGAUGUGAGGGCAGUCUGGCUGCGCUGGGUUGAUUCGGCUGGUCUGUCUGGGGAGGCGGGUGUCCCCUCCCUUCCUCCCUCAAUGCUCCAUGUGCAUUCCUCCCUGCAUGCUUGGUUGAAGAAGAAGACCAGCCCAAUAGAGGAGGACUGGUCCUUGGUCAGAGCUAUAGGAGCGGCGGCCCUCUGCUGCUAGGACCUCCAAACACGCUCUCAGGAGGCAGCUUCGCAGCGAGUUCUGUGAGCUGAUUGAAGCGCCCGCCCUU